AUGGAACGGCGCAAAAAUCACCAAUGCCAAACAAUUGUAUCUGUUGUUUAGAUCAUUAACCGAACGAACCUUUGUUUGUUGUUUUUGAGGAUCUAAAACAACAUUAUUGUGUCGUUUGCCAACAGACAUCUGAUAAGUUGUGAACAUUUUUAACACGUUAUUUCGCAAAAUAUGGGAAAUAGUAAUUGCUCGAUGAAUAUGUAUAUGCAUAUUUGUUGUGUGGAACCGGUAGGAUGACCUCAUCAAUUUCAAAUGCCCGCCAAAGUGCGCACAAAAUAAAGCUGCGAACAUAUGUUCGCUUGCCAUUCGCCUGCUUGCGAUAAGUAUACCAUCCCUAUUAAAUUUUGUUGUGAGCUUUUUAUUGUGAAACGCUCGAAAUUUCAUUUGUAAAUAUAUACAAAACCCGCGUUCAAUGGAGGAAGACGCUAUUGCAAAUCAGCCGGAUCGCAGGAUGGAGUCGAAUUCAAGUGUUUUGGCAAUUGGGGACGAGACCAGCGAACCUUCAGAAAGAGUAACCGGUCUUACGCACAACGAGUACACAUUUAAGGAAGAAUUCCAGAUCCGUUUGCAGAAGUUACUACUUCCAGAUGCUCCUCACCUGGCAACUAGAGCUGAUCACGAUAAAGUCGAAAGAUUUGUGGGAUCAGUUGUUGAGAAAAAUGGUAAACAAUACUAUGAAUUCGGUCUACAGAACUCUAGACAUCAGCAUGUCAUAUCGGGACCAACGUUCGACCCAAAAAGUGUUACAUUAUUAGUAAAGAAUCGGAUCAGUAAAAAGCACUGGGUAAAUGAAUCAGUGAUUGAGUCUAAAAUGCGAUGGCCAGAGGUACAAAAAAUAGUUAUGGAUUGUUUAAAUGAGCAAGACAAUCGUAUAUAUAAUUAUUUACGUUAUUUGCUAGAAAAUCGUAAGCGGUAAAACAUUUGUAUACGUUAUAUAUGAUGUGUUUUAAGUGCAUGUACCUAAAUAAAUGUUUAAUACAAAAUC